rnacentral:rRNA from 1 species
CCUACGGGAGGCAGCAGUGGGGAAUCUUGCGCAAUGGGCGAAAGCCUGACGCAGCCAUGCCGCGUGAAUGAUGAAGGUCUUAGGAUUGUAAAAUUCUUUCACCGGGGACGAUAAUGACGGUACCCGGAGAAGAAGCCCCGGCUAACUUCGUGCCAGCAGCCGCGGUAAUACGAAGGGGGCUAGCGUUGCUCGGAAUUACUGGGCGUAAAGGGAGCGUAGGCGGACAUUUAAGUCAGGGGUGAAAUCCCAGAGCUCAACUCUGGAACUGCCUUUGAUACUGGGUGUCUUGAGUGUGAUAGAGGUAUGUGGAACUCCGAGUGUAGAGGUGAAAUUCGUAGAUAUUCGGAAGAACACCAGUGGCGAAGGCGACAUACUGGAUCAUUACUGACGCUGAGGCUCGAAAGCGUGGGGAGCAAACAGGAUUAGAUACCCUGGUAGUCCACGCCGUAAACGAUGAUUGCUAGUUGUCGGGGUGUUUACAUCUCGGUGACGCAGCUAACGCAUUAAGCAAUCCGCCUGGGGAGUACGGUCGCAAGAUUAAAACUCAAAAUGUAAGUUAGACGGUCGUUGAGACGUUGCCGACGGACGACGACGAGGGAGGAGG